GCGGAAGAUGCUCGGCCUGGCCGGCCUGCCGCCGGCGCAGGCCGAGGCGGGCGCCGCCGCGGUCGAGCGGUUCGAGACCGCGCUGGCGCGC
rnacentral:tRNA from 1 species